rnacentral:rRNA from 1 species
ACAGCAGCCGCCACGGUAAUACAGAGGGUGCGAGCGUUAAUCGGAUUUACUGGGCGUAAAGCGUGCGUAGGCGGCUUUUUAAGUCGGAUGUGAAAUCCCUGAGCUUAACUUAGGAAUUGCAUUCGAUACUGGGAAGCUAGAGUAUGGGAGAGGAUGGUAGAAUUCCAGGUGUAGCGGUGAAAUGCGUAGAGAUCUGGAGGAAUACCGAUGGCGAAGGCAGCCUUCUGGCCUAAUACUGACGCUGAGGUACGAAAGCAUGGGGAGCAAACAGGAUUAGAUACCCCGGUAGUCCCUGUCUCUUAUAC